UACGGAGGUUGCAAGCGUUGUUCGGAAUGACUGGGCGUAAAGGGAGCGCAGCCGGCUCGAUUAGUCUGGAGUGAAAGCCCGGGGCUCAACCCCGGAGGGUCUUCGGAUACUGUCGAGCUCGAGUACGGAAGAGGAGAGUGGAAUUCCAGGUGUAGCGGUGAAAUGCGUAGAUAUCAGGAGGAACACCGAUGGCGAAGGCAGGUCCUGCUAGGCUGGACACUG
rnacentral:rRNA from 1 species